ensembl:lncRNA
GGGGACAGGUGUGUGUAAUGAAGGGGACAGGUGUGUAAUGAAAGGGGACAGGUCUGUGUAAUGAAGGGGACAGGUGUGUGUAAUGAAGGGGACAGGUGUGUGUAAUGAAGGGGACAGGUCUGUGUAAUGAAGGGGACAGGUCUGUGUAAUGAAGGGGACAGGUGUGUGUAAUGAAGGGGACAGCUGUGUGUAAUGAAGGGGACAUGUGUAUGUAAUGAAGGGGACAGGUGUAUGUAAUGAAGGGGACAGGUGUAUGUAAUGAAGGGGACAGCUGUGCGUAAUGAAGGGGACAGGUGUGUGUAAUGAAGGGGACAGGUGUGUGUAAUGAAGGGGACAGGUCUGUGUAAUGAAGGGGACAGGUGUGUGUAAUGAAGGGGACAGCUGUGUGUAAUGAAGGGGACAGGUCUGUGUAAUGAAGGGGACAGGAGUGUAAUGAAGGGGACAGGUCUGUGUAAUGAAGGGGACAGGUGUGUGUAAUGAAGGGGACAGCUGUGUGUAAUGAAGGGGACAGGGCUGUGUAAUGAAGGGGAC